rnacentral:snRNA from 1 species
AGAUGUGAGGCGAUCAGGCUGCUAGGCCUGUCACCCCAUCAAUCACCAAGGUUGACUCAUGCAUCUGGCUGGCCAGGCGGUAUCUUUUCCUCCCUCACUUCUUCCUCUGUAUCCUGCCCAAAUCUGUGCUCUCAAUGAAAGACAACUUCCCCCCAUAGAAGAAGACCAUUCUUUGGUCCC